AACGAACGCUGGCGGCAUGCCUAACACAUGCAAGUCGAACGGGAUCCAGGCUUCGGCCUGGUGAGAGUGGCGGACGGGUGAGUAACACGUGGGAACCUGCCUUUUGGUUCGGGAUAACCGCGGAAAACUGCGGCUAAUACCGGAUGCUCCCCGAGAGGGGGAAAGAUUUAUCGCCAGAAGAGGGGCCCGCGUCCGAUUAGGUAGUUGGUGAGGUAAUGGCUCACCAAGCCGACGAUCGGUAGCUGGUCUGAGAGGAUGAUCAGCCACACUGGGACUGAGAUACGGCCCAGACUCCUACGGGAGGCAGCAGUGGGGAAUAUUGGACAAUGGGGGCAACCCUGAUCCAGCAAUGCCGCGUGAGUGAUGAAGGCCUUAGGGUUGUAAAGCUCCUUUGCCAGGGAAGAUGAUGACUGUACCUGGAGAAUAA
rnacentral:rRNA from 1 species